rnacentral:rRNA from 1 species
CCCUUAGGUGUUCUGGGCCGCACGCGUGCUACACUGAGUGGAUCAGCGGGUCAGGUUGCGCGAAAGUGUUUCCUAAUCUUGAAAUCCGCUCGUGAUGGGGAUUGACGGUUGCAAUUUUCCGUCAUGAACGAGGAAUACCUUGUAAGCGCGGGUCAUCAUCCCGCGCUGAAUACGUCCCUGCCCUUUGUACACACCGCCCGUCGCUCCUACCGAUUGAGUGGUCCGGUGAGGCUUUGGGAUCUGAGCAAAGAGAGCGUUUCGCUCGUUUUGCCCGGAAAACUCAGUCGAACCUUAUCAUUUAGAGGAAGGAGAAGUCGUAACA